CCCUUCGGGGUGCCCAGGCGCGAAAACUUUGCAAUACACGAAAGUGUGACAGGGUCAUCCCGAGUGCCGACCGCUGAGGUUGGCUUUUACCCAGUCUAGAAAGCUGGGGGAAUAAGGAGAGGGCAAGUCUGGUGUCAGCCGCCGCGGUAAUACCAGCUCUCCGAGUGGUGUGGACGUUUAUUGGGCCUAAAGCAUCCGUAGCUGGCUGAACAAGUCCCCUGUUAAACCCACCGAUUUAAUCGUUGGUCUGCGGGGGAUACUGCUCGGCUAGGGGACGAGAGAGGCAGACGGUAUUCCCGGGGUAGGGGUGAAAUCCUAUAAUCCCGAGAAGACCACCAGUGGCGAAGGCUGUCUGCUAGAACGCGCCCGACGGUGAGGGAUGAAAGCUGGGGGAGCGAACCGGAUUAGAUACCCGGGUAGUCCCAGCUGUAAACGAUGCAGACUAGGUGUUUGGACGGCCACGUGCCGUUCUAGUGCCGCAGGGAAGCUGUUAAGUCUGCCGCCUGGGGAGUACGAUCGCAAGAUUGAAACUUAAAGGAAUUGGCGGGGGAGCAC
rnacentral:rRNA from 1 species